rnacentral:rRNA from 1 species
UACAGAGGGUGCGAGCGUUAAUCGGAAUUACUGGGCGUAAAGCGCGCGUAGGCGGUUUUGUAAGUCGGGUGUGAAAUCCCCAAGCUUAACUUGGGAACUGCAUUCGAGACUGCAUAGCUAGAGUAUGGGAGAGGGAAGUGGAAUUUCAGGUGUAGCGGUGAAAUGCGUAGAUAUCUGAAGGAACAUCAGUGGCGAAAGCGACUUCCUGGACCAAUACUGACGCUCAUGUGCGAAAGCGUGGGUAGCAAACAGG